rnacentral:lncRNA from 1 species
GGUUGCUCUUGCUCAGACACCACAGCUCGCUGCAGACCUCCUGCGGGCCGAGGUGCCCGCUCAGGCUCGCCCCCCUCCCUUCCUCCCUGGGGCAGCCCGCCCGGCUUGGGAGGACCCAGAUGUCCGGCUCACUGCCGGUCCCAGAGCAGAGAGCCCGGUGCUCCCUUCCUGGCUCGCGGUGGGUCUUCGUGCAUCCCCUUGCGGGGCAUGGCCUGUGACUUAUACUCUCCCAAUAAGCUCCAUUUAUGGAGCACUUUAUACAUGCCAUAUACCUCUUUAGGCAGUACUACCCCAUCUUACUGGGAGAAAACCAAGCUUCAGACAGGUAAGGUCACACAGCUACUAAGGGAAUAGCCUGGAGUUUAACCCAGCUCUUUAAUUCAGAGUCUGUGCUCUAACGAACUUUGCAAUUCAGUUCCUGGUGCCUUCUGAGUUUCUGGAAGGAAACGUGGGAACUGCUGAGGAAUGAACAGGAAGGAUUUGGGGUUCUUUUAUGGGAUGGGCAAAGUAGCCGAAGAGAAAGUGGUGGUUCUGAGAAAUCGGCCUGGAUGAUGACUAGGCCAACGGCCUCAUCUCUAGUUUUUUCCAGCUGUUGGUUCUCUUUGUUCCCCCAUCUAAACUGGAGAAGCCCCCAACACUUUUAAGCUAUGUGGAGGGGUGGGAGUUUGGGAGGGGACAAUGCCGAGUUAGGUCUGUGUGGGACAUGCCUCUCUUUCUCCAGGUGAAAAAUCAGCCCCACCUUCUUCCCGUCUGAAUCCUGGAUGGGCUGAACUAGUCCCAGGGACUCACUCUGACUCUUAAAGUCCAGGUUAAUAUCCCUGGAGAAGCCCCAGUGAGUUCAGGUGAAGCAAAAUCUCUGACCCUCUUGGCCCACAUCCUAAGCAACCUCCCAGCGUCUUUCCUCUAAAAAGUAGGUGGUCCUCUCUGACCCUCUUGGCCCACAUCCUAAGCAACCUCCCAGCGUCUUUCCUCUAAGAAGUAGGUGGUCCUUCUGUAAUUAUCAAGUGUAAUCCCCGCUUUGAACCCAAUUCUUGUAAGCUUUCCAGAUGUGGGACUGGAUCGAUCAAUGGCCACAGGAAAGGACCCUUCCUAGGUCAGCCCCUGAGAGAUACCUGUACAUAUGUAAGAAGCUGGAAGAGUUGUUCUCAAAUACAUUCUCCCUCAAAGGUCCUCUAGAAUCUCUGCCUUCUGCCUUAUAGAGGACAUUUCUCAGCUAAAAACUCAGACUGUGUCCUCUUGGCCAUAUCUAAAAAUAUCACAUCAGUCCUGUCGCAAUCCCACUUCUGACACCUCUUCAAGAUAAUGAUUUCAGCUCUGCUUUUGUCCUCCUCUCCACAAGGAGGCACUGUGGCAUAUUUGAGUUGUGCAGAGACCUCAAUUCUGCUACCAACUUGCAAUAUAUUUCCCCUCUCUGGGCCUCAGUUUACUCAUCUACAAGAUGGGCAGCCUAAUGCCUGUCUUGCCUAUAUAAAUGGCUAUGAGGCACGUGACAGGAUAGAUAAGAAAGGACUUGCACCAAUGCCAUUAUGGGGUAACAAUGACCACCACUAUCUCUGGACCAGGCACCAGGCUGAACCCUUUACAUAUAUUAACCAGUUCACAUUUAGUAAAUAAAUCCCCCUUUGCCAAGAUGGCCUGAAAGAUGUUCCUUCAAAAACUAAAAGGAAGGCUCAAUUCAACAUAUAGCCAGUGCCAGCCCAAGCUUGAUAUUUUGACAGCUCCUCCCCUCCCCUGCCCCUUUGUAAAAUUUAGAGAGUCAUGAGAGACCUGGAUUUAAAUCCCAGCUCUGUCAUGGUCUCAAACUGUGGCCUUGGACAAGUCAUCCUCCCUAUGCUAUGGCUCAGUCCCUUCCUCUGUAACGUGGGGGCUAGCAGGAUUGUCAGGAGUUUAGAUGGUGACACACAGCACAUGCUUAGCCCAUAGUGAGAGCUCAGUAAAUGUCAGACACCAUGAUCAUUGUUAGGAUACCUGGGUCACAGCAGAUGUUGAGGAGUAGCUUCAGAAUUCUUUAGGAAUUCCUUAGAGGGUGCUGCAGUUACCAGCUAAGUUAGGAUGUUGGGGGGUGUCAAGGGUGGAAUGUCAGUGAAAUAGAAAUUGUUCCAGGGUUUGUCUCUGUCUUGCAGUGGAAUGAAGGGAGGGCAAUUUGGCAGCUGCUUGCCCUCUGCUUUGCAUUAACAUGGCAUCACAAAAACUCUGAUCGUUUGAGUUGUGAUAGUGUGAAGAACUGGGGCUGAACCUGGGCCCCUAGGGCUGAGACUGUGAGGAGCUUAGGGGUGCAUUUAGGGAAUCGAGGCAGGUGAUCCCAUUUUUGUUCCCAAGCACUGUCUGAUUGCUUAGGACAUUUUGCACACUCCAUGCACCUCUGUCCUCCCAGGUCACCAUGGGGGCUCACCUCACCCCCCUUCCCGGUUCUCCCACCCCCUCACUUCCCAGGUGGGUGCCCUGGUGGAGUUCCCUCCCCCAGCCCCAGCGGCCCCC